rnacentral:rRNA from 1 species
CCUACGGGAGGCAGCAGUCGAGAAUCAUUCACAAUGGGGGAAACCCUGAUGGUGCGACGCCGCGUGGGGGAAUGAAGGUCUUCGGAUUGUACACCCCUGUCAUGUGGGAGCAAAUUAAAAAGAUAGUACCACAAAAGGAAGAGACGGCUAACUCUGUGCCAGCAGCCGCGGUAAUACAGAGGUCUCAAGCGUUGUUGGGAAUCACUGGGCGUAAAGCGUUCGUAGGUUGUUUCGUAAGUCGUGUGUGAAAGGCGCGGGCUCAACCCGCGGACGGCAAAUGAGACUGCGAGACUAGAGUAAUGGAGGGGGAACCGGAAUUCUCGGUGUAGCAGUGAAAUGCGUAGAUAUCGAGAGGAACACUCGUGGCGAAGGCGGGUUCCUGGACAUUAACUGACGCUGAGGCACGAAGGCCAGGGGAGCGAAAGGGAUUAGAUACCCUUGUAGUC